rnacentral:lncRNA from 1 species
ACAAAAUAUUAGCAGCUUACUUUUUGUCAAAAACAGUUUUGGAGUCCUUUACUAAAUCUUAAAUAAAAUGAGAUCUAUAACUCCGAUUAAUGAUCCGUCAAUUUUGUUGGAUUCGUAUCUUUCCGAUAUACAAUUUUCAUCUAUCACAAUCCAUAUUUGGACAUGUUAAGCUCUCGGAAAUUAGCCCGGAAGUGGCUGUUAAAAACUGUUGCUCUAACAGUU